rnacentral:rRNA from 1 species
UUUUUUUGGGGGGGGGGGGGUUAACAGGUUUCCGUAGGUGWACCUGCGGAAGGAUCAUUACCACACCUAAAAACACCCUUCCACGUGAACCGUUUUGUUUUGCUUUCGAGUGCUUUUGUGGCGCUCGGAGCAUGUUUUGGGCUUCGCUGCUGGCGCUUGAUUGUGCUGGCGGCUCGAGGCCAUCAAGCGGCGUUUUGAGUGUGUGUUCGCAUACAAUUAAAACGUCCAAACCUUUUAAACCCAUUUGAUUGCAAACUGAAGUAUACUGUGGGGACGAAAGUCCUCGCUUUGAAACUAGAUAACAACUUUCAGCAGUGGAUGUCUAGGCUCGCACAUCGAUGAAGAACGCUGCGAACUGCGAUACGUAAUGCGAAUUGCAGGAUUCAGUGAGUCAUCGAACUUUUGAACGCAUAUUGCACUUUCGGGUUACGCCUGGAAGUAUGUCUGUAUCAGUGUCCGUACACUAAACUUGCGUCUCUUCCGUCGUGUAGUCGUCGGUUGUUUGAUUGCAGAUGUGAGGUUGUCUCGCGAUCCGUUGCUUGUCGACAGUGUUGCGAGUCCCUUUAAAGUCGGACGCGUGUUUUUUCCGUUUUGUGCUUGAUGGGGUGCGGCUGCGGCCGUGUCUGCUGGCGGGUCUGGUGACCUUUGGCGAUGGCAUGAGAGUGGAUUGCUCGAUUUGCGGUAUGUUAGGCUUCGGCUUUGACAAUGCAGCUUAUUGUGUGUGUUCGCUUGGCUGUUGCUGUAUGGGUGARCUGGAUGGUCGGUGGGNUGCGUUGUUGCGUGUCGUUUUCAUUGAGUGCGUUUCGGUUGUCGUCGCCAUUUGGGAAUUUAUGGUCUCUAAGGAGAGCAUCUCAUUUGGACCUGAUAUCAGACAAGAUUACCCGCUGAACUUAGCAUUCAAAAUAAGGGGGGGGAAAAAAAAA